GGGCAGGUGACAGUGUCCCCUGGAAGGCUGCCCUUGGGUCCCAGUCCUGGGCUCUCCCGAGGUGAUGCGCUGUUUUCUAGGACUCAUUAUCCGAGGCAAAGGAAGUGCCAUGAGGUCAUCUCCGUAAUGUCAACUGCCAGUGACUUCCCUGAAGGACCAAGUCCUCGAACCCCAGCUUGGAGACAACCCCGCUCCCUGACCCAAAUGCCCAGGGUGAUUGGCAACAAGUCUGAUGCAUCCUUGUAGAGAACCAACAACUCCCCUCCCAGAAACAAAAUACUGCUACAUAUUUAUGGGUACAGUGUGAUACCCCAACCUGUGCCUGCAAUGUAUACUGACCCAGUUGAUCCGAUUAGGGCAGUAGGCACAUCCCUCACUUCAGACGUUCAUCUCCUGUGUAGGGAACAUUCAAAAUCCUUUCUUCAGCUAUUGUGAAAUAUGUAAGAAAUGAUGGUUAGCUAGAGUCCCCACCACCACCACCACCAGUGCUGUAGAACAGUAGAACUCCCUGAUCUUCUCUACAUAUAUCUUGUACCCCAUUACCACCCUGUCUGCCCCAGGUAACCACCAUUCUACUCUGCUUCUACAAGAGCAACUUUUUUAGCUUCCAAGUCUGAGCAAGAACAUGAGGUGUUUGCUAUGUCUCUGUGUCUGGCUUACUUCAUUUACCAGGAGAUUCUCCAGGUUCCUCCCAGCCAACACAGAUGACAAGCUUCCGUUGUUUUUUGCUAAGUAAUAUCCCAC
rnacentral:lncRNA from 1 species